GAUGAACGCUGGCGGCGUGCCUAAUACAUGCAAGUCGAGCGAACGGACGAGAAGCUUGCUUCUCUGAUGUUAGCGGCGGACGGGUGAGUAACACGUGGAUAACCUACCUAUAAGACUGGGAUAACUUCGGGAAACCGUAGCUAAUACCGGAUAAUAUUUUGAACCGCAUGGUUCAAAAGUGAAAGACGGUCUUGCUGUCACUUAUAGAUGGAUCCGCGCUGCAUUAGCUAGUUGGUAAGGUAACGGCUUACCAAGGCAACGAUGCAUAGCCGACCUGAGAGGGUGAUCGGCCACACUGGAACUGAGACACGGUCCAGACUCCUACGGGAGGCAGCAGUAGGGAAUCUUCCGCAAUGGGCGAAAGCCUGACGCAGCAACGCCGCGUGAGUGAUGAAGGUCUUCGGAUCGUAAAACUCUGUUAUUAGGGAAGAACAUAUGUGUAAGUAACUGUGCACAUCUUGACGGUACCUAAUCAGAAAGCCACGGCUAACUACGUG
rnacentral:rRNA from 1 species